rnacentral:tRNA from 1 species
CAGGGUGUAGCGCAGUUGGUAGCGCGGCGGCUUUGGGAGCCGCAGGUCGUAGGUUCAAAUCCUACCACUCUG